CAGUCGAACGAAGCACUUUAUUUGAUUUCCUUCGGGACUGAUUAUUUUGUGCCUGAGUGGCGGACGGGUGAGUAACGCGUGGGUAACCUGCCUUGUACAGGGGGAUAACAGUUGGAAACGGCUGCUAAUACCGCAUAAGCGCACAGCAUCGCAUGAUGCAGUGUGAAAAACUCCGGUGGUAUAAGAUGGACCCGCGUUGGAUUAGCUAGUUGGUGAGGUAACGGCCCACCAAGGCGACGAUCCAUAGCCGACCUGAGAGGGUGACCGGCCACAUUGGGACUGAGACACGGCCCAAACUCCUACGGGAGGCAGCAGUGGGGAAUAUUGCACAAUGGGCGAAAGCCUGAUGCAGCGACGCCGCGUGAGCGAAGAAGUAUUUCGGUAUGUAAAGCUCUAUCAGCAGGGAAGAUAAUGACGGUACCUGACUAAGAAGCACCGGCUAAAUACGUGCCAGCAGCCGCGGUAAUACGUAUGGUGCAAGCGUUAUCCGGAUUUACUGGGUGUAAAGGGAGCGCAGGCGGUGCGGCAAGUCUGAUGUGAAAGCCCGGGGCUCAACCCCGGUACUGCAUUGGAAACUGUCGUACUAGAGUGUCGGAGGGGUAAGCGGAAUUCCUAGUGUAGCGGUGAAAUGCGUAGAUAUUAGGAGGAACACCAGUGGCGAAGGCGGCUUACUGGACGAUAACUGACGCUGAGGCUCGAAAGCGUGGGGAGCAAACAGGAUUAGAUACCCUGGUA
rnacentral:rRNA from 1 species